AGUCUUACAAUAUGGCGUCUGAGUUAACAGGUGCAGUUAUAAUGAAUAUUUCGCGUAUAAAUCCAUAAAUUCAUGAUUGCAUUUUGGGCAAAAUUAAACGAAUUUUUAUUGCAGCGUCAAUAUAUGGAAAAUAAAAAUUAACAAUGUUUACUUUGGCUUUAAUUACGUUAGGUUUACUUUAUACUUGUGUAAGUUUAUUUAAAGCUUCGAUUAGGUGUUAGGUUUAAAUUAGCUUCAAUUGGGUUAGGUUUACUUUAGCCUUGAUUUGUUUCACCUUUAAUUAGGUUUACUAUAUACUUGAUUUAUUUCAGCUUCAGUUAGGUUUACUUUAGCCUUGAUUUGUUUCAGCUUUAAUUAAGUUAGGUUUACUAUAUACUUGAUUUAGGUUUCCUUAACCUUCCGUCGGGCGCAACUGAUCAAAUUGAUACUCUCGUAAUAAAUUAUUCCCAAUAAAGCGAAUGCGGACAUUCUCCCGUGUGCCCUCUCCAGUAGCUUGGCAUCUUGAGCCCAUCCACACGUGCAUUGCCGUCAGUCGUCGAUUUAAUGUGAAGGUGUGUCGUAAUCUGAUAAAAUAUUUUGAUAUCUCGCGCCCAACCACGCUCUUUUUUAUAAAGUGCCAAUUUUGAAAAAAAAAACGCUAUAGGAAAGCAAUGUCAUCGGCUCAAAAACAAUUUGACCUAAAUAAUCCUGCUGAUGUUAGAGAGAUUCACAAAAUAUUAUAUGAAGAUGAAGAUUCACAGCCCAUAGAAGAUUUUGAAGACGAUAGCGACACCGAUGCAGAAGACUACACAGAAAGCCGUCAAGGGGACUCGUAAUCAAAACAGUCAGAUUCAAGCAAUGAAGAUGUUAUGGAAAAUGAAAUUUAUUUUACAGAGAAAGAUAAAGAAAAAAAAAUUGCGUAUCAUGCCCUCAUCAAGAAGCACUCGCACGAAACCACAUAACAUUUUGAAAAAACUUCCUGGAGUCAUUGGUAAUGCAAAAUAUUCACGUACUCCUUUAGAAUGUUGGAGCCAACUGUUAUCCAAUAACAUUCUAGAGAUUAUUGUUCGUUAUACUAAUCAAUAUAUAGAAAGUAUAAAAUCAACUUUUUCACGGGAAAGGCUUGCGAGGCAAAUCGACAUGAUAGAAUUGAAAGCUUUUGUUGGGCUUCUAUUUUUAGCCUGUAUUUGGAGAAGUAAUCGGCAAAGUUUGGAAGACCUUUGGGGAACCUGUAAUGAUGGCGUGGAAAAAUUUCGAAUGGUCAUGAGUAUAAAAAGAGAUAGUUUAAAAUGCGAUGUCUAAGAUUUGAUGACAGAUCCACACGCGAAGAGAGAAAAAAGAAGAUAAACUUGCAGCAGUACGAGAAAUAUUCAGCAUGUUUAUAGAAAACUGCCAAAGAUGUUAUUCGUUAGGUGAAAAUGUUACAAUUGACGAAAAAUUAGAAGGCUUUAGGGGCAGGUGCGGAUUCAGGCAGUAUAUUCCCAGUAAGCCAAAUAAAUAUGGCAUUAAAAUAUAUGCUCUUGUCGACACCCAGGUAUUUUAUAUAUAUAAUUUGGAGAUAUAUGCUGGACAGCAUCCAGAGGAACCCUAUCGAGUAAGGAACAAGCCUGAUGAUGUAGUUCUUAGGCUAGCCAAACCGAUUUUUGGCUCUGGUCGAAAUAUAACUGCUGACAAUUGGUUCAGCAGUAUAAGCCUUGUAGAGAAGUUAAUUGAGAAAAAGCUGUCAUAUGUUGGUAUAUUAAAGAAGAAUAAGAGAGAAGUACCUCCUGAAUUUUUGUCUAGUAAAAAUCGAGAAGUCUUUAGUAGCCUUUUUGGAUUCAAAAAAGAUUAUUCAUUGGUUUCCUAUGCCAAAAAAAAGGAAAGUGCAUUAUUUUAGUAUCCUUACACAACGACAAUGAAAUAGAUCCUGAGACAUAUGAUCAGAAAUAAACCCGCCAUGAUAACAUUUUAUAAUAGCACAAAAGGAGGAGUAGAUACAACUGAUAAAUUGUGUGCCAGUUAUAAUGUAGCAAGAAAUAUUCGUCGUUGGCCGAUGGUAGUGUUUUUCGCCAUUCUAAAUAUGAGUGAAAUUAAUGCGAGAUUGAUUCACAUUGGGAACGAUCAAGCAGUCACUAGAAGAAAAGUCUUUUGGAAAAAAUUAGUACUUCAUUAUACAGGCGAAGUCAGAAUACUGUAGGUAUGCCCCUCGACCUGCAAACGAAAAUUGCAGCCAUACCGACAGGACGAACGAAACCUUCCCAAUGAAGAAGGUCAAGAAGCUACAGGUGCGAAAAGAAGAUGAUGCCAGGAUUGUCAAGGACCAGCUAACAAGAGGAGGCUUGCCAAAUAUGACUGCAUCUUGUGUGAAAAAGCCAUAUGUUUGUCCCACUUGAAUUUUUACUGUAACGAGUGUAACACCAAUUUAAGACAAAAUAUUAAUGCUUAAUAAUAAUGGCAAUCGUUUUCUUUUGUCAAUUUAAAUUUCUUUUUACUAGCUUUAUUUGUUAUUUUCGCCUUUUAUUUUUUUACCACAGAAACUAGUAUAUAGUUUUAAAUUACAUUAUAUUUGAAAUUCCUACAUUAUUUUGAAUAGGAACAAUGAAAAUUUCUUUUGAGUACUUUGUCUAUAACAAAAACAUGUUUCAUUUUAUUUAAACCCUUUUAGGUAACUUAUUUUCAAUAGUGAUCACCCUUAUAUAAUGCGCCCGACAGAAGGUUAAGCUUCGAUUAAAUUGGGUUAAUUUUAGCUCCAAUUAGGUUAACUUUAUACUUGAUUUAUUUCAACUCCAGUUAGGUUUACUUUAGCUUCGACUAGGUUAGGUUUCAUUUAGGCUGGGUUUACUUUCUACUUAAUUAGGUUGGCUUAUUUUAGUUUUUGUUAGGUUCACUUUAACUUCGAUUAGGUUGGGUUAUUUUAGCUUCAGUUUCGAUAAAAUUAUAUUUUAGUAGUGUUUUUUAAUUAUCUUGUGACCUUUUGGGACAUAUUCAUGCUGCACAACACAUGUAUAAUCCCCAUUUUCAGAUAAUUUCAAUUUUGACAUUUUUUUUUGUUAUGGCGUUUAAAAAUCCUUCGACGUAUAAAAAAAUACAUUUCGAAUAAACACGAGUUAACUAUACGUGCCAACGAGUUGUGAAGACUUACAGGUGAAACCCACAGAGAAAUUUUUGAAAGUAGGUUAGAUAUUUUUGGGAUAAACCUUGUAUAAUAUUUAUCGACGAUAUAAUAAAACGUUUAGUUAAAAAAUCUCGCAAAUUUUAAUAUAAACUACAUAAAAAUACAGUUAUAUUACAAAAUGAAAAUUGCCACGGGUUUUUACAACUGAAGGCACCUCUAACAUGGCAUACGUUCAACGAAUUAAGAAAAAAUCAAAAGAAUACAAGAUAUUUAAUUGUUUAAACAGUGACCUAAAUACAUUGAAAUCAUACAAAUCUCUUAAAUGUAUUGUACACAACACACAACAAGGUUUAAUUUAAAUUUAUACUGUUCCUGUUAAUAAACAUAAGGAUUAAAGUAAAAUAAUUGGAUAUGAAGUUUCUGUAAAGUUUAGACCAUCAAACUAUUGUGUUAUAAAAAAAAAACAACAAAAUAAAAUUCCAUUUAUCGACAGUGCUUAAGGCCGAAACACACGUGACGACCGCACAGGUCUGAUGGAAAUCGUGCGGUGAAAAACGUACCGCAACGACAGUCAGCUUUUAAACAAAUAAUAAUUUUUUCACAGGAUUUAUCGAAUGGUAAAUAUCGCUUUUCCGCAAGAUUUUACCUAUCGAUUUUUUGAAUUUUUACGUAUAAAAUUUGACACUCAUGGUAUAUAUCACAAUAAUUAGGUGGAGAUUGUUAAAGAAAUGUCUUAAAUCACCUCGUUCCGGAGUAAGUAUCAACAGCUGUCAAACAAUAGUAGCUUUUUUGCAAUGUCUUCAAUUGAAAAACUUUUGUGAUACAAUGGUUAACGAAGAACAAUUCGAAGGAAAAGAAGGACAUCAAAGUCGAAUAUAUCCGGAAAAUAAGUAAUAGAAAAAGACCUUCGACACAAAUAGAACCUGAAGAGAGAAAAAUAAAAAAACUAAACAAAGUUUUGUUCCAAGUAAUAGAAAAUGGCAAGUUAGUUGCGUCUUCUGAAGGUGGAGACUAACAAAGAGAAGAAACUAUAAUCGAAACCAAGUUAGAUGCGAAGAAAGAGAUUAAGGAUGAUAAUUGUAGAAAAAAUAUGACUAAAGCUGCCAGUAUCAACAAGAAACCAGGAGGAUAUAACAGUUUGAUGAUUAAUAUCAAUUUCCACGAUAAUUAACAAAAAGGAAGAAUCAAAAAAAUAACAGGAUGCAAAUAGAGAAGAUGAGAUUAAAACAGAUCAAAAUAGGUGAAAAUACUCUAAGAUUCAACUGCACUGGAUACAAAUGUGGCUUAAAAGAACGUAAAUAUAGCUUAAAAAGUUAGAGGAAACUAUAAAUCGGGAAGAAUUUUAGAUCAAUUAGUAAAAAAAUAGCAACUCAAUAAGUUUUCAUCUGUUGCAUAUGAAGACAUUCAAAGAGAAGAAAUCGAGAAAGAAAAAAGGACCGUCCCCAACUUCGAGAUAGACGACUUAAAAUUAUCUUUAAAACGAAAAGAAAGAAGAUGAGCCAAAGAUCUUGAUGAUCGAAAAUAAGUUUGAAUCUUUUGAAGAUGACGAAGAAGACUUAAAAAGAGACUUGUAGGGAGGAUAAAUCGAUGAAGGAAAAAGAUAAAACAUCAGAAUUGACCAUAAAACGAAGAAAAAUAAGAUGGGCCGAAAUCUACAGAUAUAUGAUAAAAAAUUUAAGAACAAGUAAUAUAAAAUGAGAUCUUUUAAUAGAUGGUGAAAAAUGAGAAAACGGGUCAUAGAAAAAGGCUUCCGUACAAAUAGAACUUAAAGACUUGGAGGAAACUAUAAAUCGGGAAGGAUUUUAGUUCAUGUUCUCCAUUAGUAAAAAAAAUCAAGUCAAUUAGUUUUCCUUUUUUAAAGAUGAAAAGAAAUCGAGGAAGAAAAGGGACUUUCAAUGAAAUCAUUUUAAGAUAUCAUUAAAAUGGAAAGAAGAUGGAUUUAAGAUCUAUAUGAUCCUUCUACGCAAAUAGAUGCAUGAAGAAAUUAUAAAGCUGAAAGAAUUUUAGUAAAAGCUAUUGGUAUGACAAAAAAACAAGCUACUUAGAUUCUCUUCUGAAGAUGAAGACCAGCUGAAGAUCUGAAGAUAGAUGAAAUACAAGGAAUAAUAGAAAAACACCUUCGACAUAAAUAAAACUUAAAGAGUUAGAGUAAAUUAUAAAUCGGGAAGAAUUUGGUAGAAAAAAUCGAAUUAUUCAAAUUAGGCAUUUUGGAAAUGACUAGGAAUAUCAUCGGGACUGAUUGUAAAUGAUCCGGAAAUGGAAUACUUAGUAUUAUCAGGAAGAAAAGAUAAAAAGGAGCAGAAAAUUCGAGUUAUAACAUUUGGAAAACACAAUAAAAACAAGUAGAAUGAACAAAAAGAAAAUACGACUUGGCAACUAUACCCAACGAAUUGCUCUGAAAAUAUAUUUUGUUUUGCCGUCGAAACUAAUUAUAUUGAAUUUUCAAAAAAUCAAUCUGUAAGUGAAUUAUAUUGAAUUUUCAAAAAAUCAAUGGGUAAGUGAAAAGCGUGAAUAAAAGAAACAAGAAAAUAAACAUACAGUUAUCAAAACAAAUCAAGUAUUACCCGGUGGUGUUAUUUACCAAAAGAUUAACGUUUAUACAAAAUAAAAUUGAAAAUUUUUUUUUUCUUUUUUUUUAACGGUAGCCCUAUUAUAAAUUAUCGGUGUACUUUUGGACAUUGAUUCGACUAUUACAUUUUAGUCA